UACUGAGGGUGCGAGCGUUAUUCGGAAUUGCUGGGCGUAAAGCGCGCGUAGGCGGCUUUGUAAGUCGGGUGUGAAAUCCCCAGGCUUAACCUGGGAACUGCAUUCGAGACUGCAUUGCUAGAGUAUGGGAGAGGGAAGUGGAAUUUCCGGUGUAGCGGUGAAAUGCGUAGAUAUCGGAAGGAACAUCAGUGGCGAAGGCGACUUCCUGGACCAAUACUGACGCUCAUGUGCGAAAGCGUGGGGAGCAAACGGG
rnacentral:rRNA from 1 species